rnacentral:rRNA from 1 species
GCCUGCAUGAAGUCGGAAUUGCUAGUAAUCGCGGAUCAGAAUGCCGCGGUGAAUACGUUCCCGGGUCUUGUACACACCGCCCGUCACACCAUGGGAGCCGGGAAUGCCCGAAGUCAGUGGCCCAACCGAAAGGGGGGAGCUGCCGAAGGCAGGCCUGGUGACUGGGGUGAAGUCGUAACAAGGUAGC